rnacentral:rRNA from 1 species
AUGGAGGUGUUCGACGAAGUGCACUUCGUGCGGCUCCGGUGCCGGGUGCGGCGGACCAAGUACCUGGCGGCGGACGACGACGGGCACGGCGUGUGCCUGUCCAGCCAGCGCGGCGCGCACAACACGGUGUGGGCGGUGCAGGCCAUGGAGGGCGCGGUGGAGGGCGCCGAGGGCGGGCCCUUCGUCCUCCUCCGCGGCGCCUAUGGCCGCUACCUCUUCGCCACGGAUGUGCAGGCCGCCACGGGGCCCGGCCACGGCGUCCAGGCCGCGCAGCAGGCCCGGCCGCACCCGAACACGCCGAGGUGCAUGCUCUGGCAGGCCAUCCGGCGGCAGGGCUCCUUCGUGAUCCGCAGCGCCGGGGGCCGGUACCUCCGCGCCAACGGCAAGUACGUCCGGUGGCGCACGGCCGUCACCGUCGCCGGGGACGACGCCAGCGCCAUGCUGCAGUGGGACGUCGAGGUCGUGCCCCUUCGCCUGGACCGCCCUACCCUCCUCGAUCCACCGCCACAGCCGAUGCGGAGGCGGCGCCGCCCGCCGACGGAGGAGGAGGUGGCGCGGCAGGUCCGGUACAUCCGCGCCGGCGUGGACGGGGACAUAGACGAGACAGGGUGGCGGACGGUGCGGAUCAGCACCAACAGCCUCAUGCAGCUGCGGCUGACGCUGGCCAACCUGCUGGGCCAGAACCGGUCGGCGCUCCACACCACGCUCUGCGUCCGCGCCGGUGCCUACGCCGACCUCUCCCCUCUCCUCAUCGACCUGCCCAUCGGCAACGACCGCCUCGACAUCGUCGUCAUCACCCACGGCACACCAGGUCCGUAA